AUACGGAGGAUGCAAGCGCUAUCCGGAUUUAUUGGGUUUAAAGGGUGCGUAGGCGGUUUGCUAAGCGGGAGGUGAAAUGCCGGCGCUCAACGUCGGAAGUGCCUCCCGAACUGGUGGACUGGAAUGACUCUGCCGUGGGAGGAAUGUGUAGUGUAGCGGUGAAAUGCCUAGAGAUUACACAGAACACCGAUUGCGAAGGCAUCUCACGAAGGGUUGAUUGACGCUGAGGCACGAAAGCGUGGGGAUCAAACAGGAUUAGAUACCCUGGUAGUCCACGCAGUAAACGAUGAUGGCUAACCGCUGGUUUUUUCGGAUCAGUGGCCAAGCGAAAGCGAUAAGCCAUCCACCUGGGGAGUACGACCGCAAGGUUGAAACUCAAAGGAAUUGACGGGG
rnacentral:rRNA from 1 species